CAUGGAGCUUGACCAAGUGCUUGGCUGUGGAUCUCUGCAUCUGCUUCCUUCAGUUACUGGUUGAGGGAUCUAUGAUGACAAUUAGGGUAGUCACCAGUAUAACUACAGGAGAAGAUCAGUGCCUUGCUAAGUCAUCAUCAGAGAAGAUUCCUCCUUCAGCUAAUGAGAACAAAUACAGAGACUCGCAACCAGACUUUAUGCAGAGAGGAGAGACUUUGGAAAACUCAGCCCAAAACAGGAUGUCUCUAUCAAAUCCCUCCUCUCAGGAGUCAGGUAAGAGAGUUAGCUUACUUCAAAUCAAACAAAGACUUAACUUCUGGUAGUCUGGCCAUAGAGUCUACACUAUUAGUCACAAGAAUUGGUUGCUAAAGAGAAUUCUGAAGCCCAGGUUCUAUACAACCCAGCUGCCUUGGAGCCUGCACCACCUGGGACAUGAGAUUCCAAGUGCUGUGGAAAGAAACUAUUUUGUCUUCUAAACAACGGUUAAGUCAUGGUGAAUCAUGACUUAGGAAGGUGCUAACAAGGAUCCAGGGCCAGCCCUAUGAUGUUCCAGAUCCUACAUCCAUUGCUGGUGUUCUGUUGGUGAGUGUUGCCAAGAAUGCUGAGGUUUAGCCUGAGAUGACAGUACCCAAUUAUGUGGGACACUGUGGGAAUGAUGACACUCAAGAAGCCAACUCACAAGAAUGCAGAAAGCAUUCUAGGUGGCAAGACGUAGGAAUCCAAAGCUGUAGUAUGUGUCUUCCAAGCAACACUGCCAAGGAAAACAGAGUUGAGUGGAGGUCAGUGUAAAUAGAUCAUGUUUCUUCAUUCUUUGAUGUCAGCCCUAAGCCUGGUGCAUCAAGUUUGGACUCAGUCAGGAAAUGAGUAUCAUUAGGAUAAGUGAUAUGAUGUAGGAAUCAGAGCUCACA